rnacentral:rRNA from 1 species
GAUGAACGCUGGCGGCGUGCCUAAUACAUGCCAGUCGAGCGAACAGACGAGGAGCUUGCUCCUCUGACGUUAGCGGCGGACGGGUGAGUAACACGUGGAUAACCUACCUAUAAGACUGGGAUAACUUCGGGAAACCGGAGCUAAUACCGGAUAAUAUAUUGAACCGCAUGGUUCAAUAGUGAAAGACGGUUUUGCUGUCACUUAUAGAUGGAUCCGCGCCGCAUUAGCUAGUUGGUAAGGUAACGGCUUACCAAGGCAACGAUGCGUAGCCGACCUGAGAGGGUGAUCGGCCACACUGGAACUGAGACACGGUCCAGACUCCUACGGGAGGCAGCAGUAGGGAAUCUUCCGCAAUGGGCGAAAGCCUGACGGAGCAACGCCGCGUGAGUGAUGAAGGUCUUCGGAUCGUAAAACUCUGUUAUUAGGGAAGAACAAAUGUGUAAGUAACUAUGCACGUCUUGUCGGUACCUAAUCAGAAAGCCACGGCUAACUACGUG